GCAACGCUUGGGGAUCCGGCGGCAGCUCAGAUCUCCAGGUGUCCCGAGGCCUCGCUGACGCCGGAGGGGGUUCUACCGAGACUCAGUUGGUUCUCCUUAGACUGCCGAUUGGCUGAUGGCCCCGUCAAUCUCCAGGGGAAAGAACUAGUUUUCAGACACUUGGGGAAAGUAUUACUUCUAGCCCCUUCUUGCUGAAAUGAAGGGUUCUGGAGAAAACCCAAGAGAUUAGGUGAAGCAGAAGCCUGAGAACCGUGUUUGGGGACCCACCACGGAAAAGCAUUGUAUGAAAUAAUGACACUCUCUGACUUCCCUCCUUUGGCUACUCGGCUCUGCUCUCGGCAAGCCUUGCAUCCACAGAGCCACUGAAUGGCAAGCAAUGAUUCUAGCCCAACGUUUGUAAACUUGAGG